rfam:Candidatus Accumulibacter sp. SK-02 contig000085, whole genome shotgun sequence.
UGAGUUGAAUGGCAAACGGGACGAAAGUCCCGGACGCAAAGCUGCAGGCCCUAACCUGAAGUCCGGGAGGGUGGCUGGGUUGCCCUA